rnacentral:rRNA from 1 species
UACGUAGGGUGCAAGCGUUGUUCGGAAUUAUUGGGCGUAAAGCGCGUGUAGGCGGCUCGCUAAGUUUGAUGUGAAAGCCCUGGGCUUAACCCAGGAAGUGCAUUGGAUACUGGUGAGCUAGAGUACGGGAGAGGAGGGUAGAAUUCCUGGUGUAGGGGUGAAAUCCGUAGAGAUCAGGAGGAAUACCGGUGGCGAAGGCGACCCUCUGGCCCGUUACUGACGCUGAGACGCGAAAGAGUGGGUAGCAAACAGG